UACGUAGGGUGCAGGCGUUAAUCGGAAUUACUGGGCGUAAAGCGUGCGCAGGCGGUCUUUUAAGUCAGAUGUGAAAUCCCCGGGCUUAACCGGGGAACUGCGUCUGAUACUGGAUGGCUUGAGUUCGGGAGAGGGAUGCGGAAUUCCAGGUGUAGCGGUGAAAUGCGUAGAUAUCUGGAGGAACACCGGUGGCGAAGGCGGCCCCCUGGACCGGUACUGACGCUGAGGCGCGAAAGCGUGGGUAGCAAACGGG
rnacentral:rRNA from 1 species